rnacentral:rRNA from 1 species
GACGUUUUUUUUUGUAGACUCGGCAGGAAGCUUCCGGGAAACCAAAAGCAUUUGGGUUCCAGGGGAAGUAUGGUUGCAAAGCUGAAACUUAAAGGAAUUGACGGAAGGGCACCACCAGGAGUGGAGCCUGUGGCUUAAUUUGACUCAACACGGGAAAUCUCACCAGGCCCGGACACUGGAAGGAUUGACAGAUUGAUAGCUCUUUCUUGAUUCGGUGGGUGGUGGUGCAUGGCCGUUCUUAGUUGGUGGAGUGAUUUGUCUGGUUAAUUCCGAUAACGAACGAGACUCUGUCCUGCUAAAUAGUGUCGGCCUCUGUUUUGGGCAGACAAUUCUUCUUAGAGGGACUGGCAACUCUUAGUUGUACGAGAUUGAGCAAUAACAGGUCUGUGAUGCCCUUAGAUGUUCUGGGCCGCACACGCGCUACACUGAAUAGAUCAACGUGUUGUCCCUCUGCGAGAGCAUCGGGUAAACCGCUGAACCCUAUUCGUGGUAGGGAUCGGGGCUUGCAAUUGUUCCCCGUAAACCAGGAAUUCCCAGUAGGCGCAAGUCAUAAGCUUGUGUCGAUUACGUCCCUGCCCUUUGUACACACCGCCCGUCGCUACUACCGAUUGAACGUUUUAGUGAGGUCCUCGGACUGUUUGGUUGGCGGAUUACUCUGCCUGCCUGGUGGGAAG